rnacentral:rRNA from 1 species
AAACAGAUGACUAAUACCGCAAUAAAACCUAACACCGCAUGGUGUAGGGUUGAAAGAUGGUUUCGGCUAUCACUUUAGGAUGGACCCGCGGUGCAUUAGUUAGUUGGUGAGGUAAAGGCUCACCAAGACCGUGAUGCAUAGCCGACCUGAGAGGUAAUCGGCCACACUGGGACUGAGACACGGCCCAGACUCCUACGGGAGGCAGCAGUAGGAAUCUUCCACAAUGGACGAAAGUCUGAUGGAGCAACGCCGCGUGAGUGAAGAAGGUUUUCGGAUCGUAAAACUCUGUUGUUGGAGAAGAAUGUAUCUGAUAGUAACUGAUCAGGUAGUGACGGUAUCCAACCAGAAAGCCACGGCUAACUACGUG